UUUUAGUCUGGAAAGAACGAUGUGAGGACAGGACCCCUGCUACUGUGUGUGUCUCUCAUCCUGAUGUUGACAUAUGUAAAAGAAAAAAUCUGCUCCUGACACUUGUGAAAACCAGCAAGACAGAUGUUAUUGGAACUCCUGCAUUAGGCGACGACCCUCAGUACAGAGUUGAGCUCAGCUCUGGAGGCAGCAUGGAGAGUGAGUGGAGUGUUUACGGACAAUGAGCAGAGGGUCAGCGGAUGGACAGUCACUAAGAGGAACUUGAUGAGCAAAGGAUGGUGGGGAGCGAAGCAGCAGGAACAGCCACAGCCUCACUGAGCCCUGGAGCCCAGUUCAGAGCAGAGUUGCAGCUGCAGAGGCAGGCAGGCGGCACCUGUGGUCACAUGGGGGUUUAUCAGCUGUACACGAUCUUCUAGCAGCUUCUGUGUCUUUUCUCCCUGGAAUGUUCUCUUCUGUGCCCU
rnacentral:lncRNA from 1 species